rnacentral:rRNA from 1 species
UACGUAGGGGGCGAGCGUUGUCCGGAAUUAUUGGGCGUAAAGAGCUCGUAGGCGGUGUGUCGCGUCGGCCGUGAAAACUUGGGGCUUAACUCUGAGCGUGCGGUCGAUACGGGCAUCACUUGAGUUCGGCAGGGGAGACUGGAAUUCCUGGUGUAGCGGUGAAAUGCGCAGAUAUCAGGAGGAACACCGGUGGCGAAGGCGGGUCUCUGGGCCGAUACUGACGCUGAGGAGCGAAAGCAUGGGGAGCGAACAGG